UACGUAGGGUGCAAGCGUUAAUCGGAAUUACUGGGCGUAAAGCGUGCGCAGGCGGUUUUGUAAGUCUGUCGUGAAAUCCCCGGGCUUAACCUGGGAAUGGCAUUCGGGACUGCAAGGCUGGAGUGCGGCAGAGGAGACUGGAAUUCCUGGUGUAGCAGUGAAAUGCGUAGAUAUCAGGAGGAAUACCGAUGGCGAAGGCAGGUCUCUGGGCUGACACUGACGCUCAUGCACGAAAGCGUGGGGAGCAAACAGG
rnacentral:rRNA from 1 species